rnacentral:rRNA from 1 species
GUUAAGCGACUAAGCGUACACGGUGGAUGCCCUGGCAGUCAGAGGCGAUGAAGGACGUGCUAAUCUGCGAUAAGCGUCGGUAAGGUGAUAUGAACCGUUAUAACCGGCGAUUUCCGAAUGGGGAAACCCAGUGUGUUUCGACACACUAUCAUUAACUGAAUCCAUAGGUUAAUGAGGCGAACCGGGGGAACUGAAACAUCUAAGUACCCCGAGGAAAAGAAAUCAACCGAGAUUCCCCCAGUAGCGGCGAGCGAACGGGGAGCAGCCCAGAGCCUGAAUCAGUGUGUGUGUUAGUGGAAGCGUCUGGAAAGGCGCGCGAUACAGGGUGACAGCCCCGUACACAAAAAUGCACAUGCUGUGAGCUCGAUGAGUAGGGCGGGACACGUGGUAUCCUGUCUGAAUAUGGGGGGACCAUCCUCCAAGGCUAAAUACUCCUGACUGACCGAUAGUGAACCAGUACCGUGAGGGAAAGGCGAAAAGAACCCCGGCGAGGGGAGUGAAAAAGAACCUGAAACCGUGUACGUACAAGCAGUGGGAGCACGCUUAGGCGUGUGACUGCGUACCUUUUGUAUAAUGGGUCAGCGACUUAUAUUCUGUAGCAAGGUUAACCGAAUAGGGGAGCCGAAGGGAAACCGAGUCUUAACUGGGCGUUAAGUUGCAGGGUAUAGACCCGAAACCCGGUGAUCUAGCCAUGGGCAGGUUGAAGGUUGGGUAACACUAACUGGAGGACCGAACCGACUAAUGUUGAAAAAUUAGCGGAUGACUUGUGGCUGGGGGUGAAAGGCCAAUCAAACCGGGAGAUAGCUGGUUCUCCCCGAAAGCUAUUUAGGUAGCGCCUCGUGAAUUCAUCUCCGGGGGUAGAGCACUGUUUCGGCAAGGGGGUCAUCCCGACUUACCAACCCGAUGCAAACUGCGAAUACCGGAGAAUGUUAUCACGGGAGACACACGGCGGGUGCUAACGUCCGUCGUGAAGAGGGAAACAACCCAGACCGCCAGCUAAGGUCCCAAAGUCAUGGUUAAGUGGGAAACGAUGUGGGAAGGCCCAGACAGCCAGGAUGUUGGCUUAGAAGCAGCCAUCAUUUAAAGAAAGCGUAAUAGCUCACUGGUCGAGUCGGCCUGCGC